rnacentral:rRNA from 1 species
GACGAACGCUGGCGGCGUGCUUAACACAUGCAAGUCGAACGGAAAGGCCCUGCUGUUGUGGGAUGCUCGAGUGGCGAAAGGGUGAGUAACACGUGAGUAACCUGCCCUUGACUUUGGGAUAACUUCAGGAAACUGGGGCUAAUACCGGAUAGGGGCACCUACUGCAUGGAGGGGGUUGGAAAGUUUCGGCGGUUGGGGAUGGACUCGCGGCUUAUCAGCUUGUUGGUGGGGUAGUGGCAUACCAAGGCUUUGACGGAUAGCCGACCUGAGAAGGUGACCAGCCACAUUGGGACUGAGAUACGGCCCAGACGCCUACGGGAGGCAGCAGUGGGGAAUAUUGCACAAUGGGCGGAAGCCUGAUGCAGCAACGCCGCGUGCGGGAUGACGGCCUUCGGGUUGUAAACCGCUUUCGCCUGUGACGAAGCGUGAGUGACGGUAAUGGGUAAAUAGGCACCGGCUAACUACGUG